rnacentral:rRNA from 1 species
UGGGGAAUAUUGCACAAUGGGGGAAACCCUGAUGCAGCGACGCCGCGUGAACGAAGAAGGUAUUCGUAUCGUAAAGUUCUGUCCUAUGGGAAGAUAAUGACAGAACCAUAGAAGAAAGCUCGGGCUAAAUACGUGACAGCAGCCGCGGUAACACGUAGGGAGCGAGCGUUGUCCGGAAGUAUUGGGCGUAAAGGGUACGCAGGCGGUGUAAUAAGUAGAAUGUUAAAGAUCGGGGCUCAACCCCGUAAAGCAUUGGAAACUGAUAAACUUGAGUAGUGGAGAGGAAAGUGGAGUUCCUAGUGUAGUGGUGAAAUACGUAGAGAUUAGGCGGAGUACAAGUAGCGAAGGCGACUUUCUGGACACAAACUGACGCUGUGGUACGAAAGCGUGGGGAGCAAACAAG